GAUGAACGCUGGCGGCGUGCCUAAUACAUGCAAGUCGAACGCCUCACUUCGGUGAAGAGUGGCGAACGGGUGAGUAAUACAUAAGUAACCUGGCAUCUACAGGGGGAUAACUGAUGGAAACGUCAGCUAAGACCGCAUAGGUGUAGAGAUCGCAUGAACUCUAUAUGAAAAGUGCUACGGGACUGGUAGAUGAUGGACUUAUGGCGCAUUAGCUUGUUGGUAGGGUAACGGCCUACCAAGGCGACGAUGCGUAGCCGACCUGAGAGGGUGACCGGCCACACUGGGACUGAGACACGGCCCAGACUCCUACGGGAGGCAGCAGUAGGGAAUUUUCGGCAAUGGGGGAAACCCUGACCGAGCAACGCCGCGUGAAGGAAGAAGUAAUUCGUUAUGUAAACUUCUGUCAUAGAGGAAGAACGGUGGAUAUAGGGAAUGAUAUCCAAGUGACG
rnacentral:rRNA from 1 species